rnacentral:rRNA from 1 species
GUCGAGCGAACGGACGGGAAGCUUGCUUCUCUGAUGUUAGCGGCGGACGGGUGAGUAACACGUGGAUAACCUACCUAUAAGACUGGGAUAACUUCGGGAAACCGGAGCUAAUACCGGAUAAUAUUUUGAACCGCAUGGUUCAAAAGUGAAAGACGGUCUUGCUGUCACUUAUAGAUGGAUCCGCGCUGCAUUAGCUAGUUGGUAAGGUAACGGCUUACCAAGGCAACGAUGCAUAGCCGACCUGAGAGGGUGAUCGGCCACACUGGAACUGAGACACGGUCCAGACUCCUACGGGAGGCAGCAGUAGGGAAUCUUCCGCAAUGGGCGAAAGCCUGACGGAGCAACGCCGCGUGAGUGAUGAAGGUCUUCGGAUCGUAAAACUCUGUUAUUAGGGAAGAACAUAUGUGUAAGUAACUGUGCACAUCUUGACGGUACCUAAUCAGAAAGCCACGGCUAACUACGUGCCAGCAGCCGCGGUAAUACGUAGGUGGCAAGCGUUAUCCGGAAUUAUUAGGCGUAAAGCGCGCGUAGGCGGUUUUUUAAGUCUGAUGUGAAAGCCCACGGCUCAGCCGUGGAGGGUCAUUGGAAACUGGAAAACUUGAGUGCAGAAGAGGAAAGUGGAAUUCCAUGUGUAGCGGUGAAAUGCGCAGAGAUAUGGAGGAACACCAGUGGCGAAGGCGACUUUC